CUGUGCUUGGCAGUGAACUUAAGCUUAAAAGCGAGAAUCUGGAUCCGAAUCUGGUUUUACGUCAUGUCCUCUCCUCAGUUCUAUGGAAUCAGGGAGGGAAGAGGAGAUAAAUUAAUAAAUGAAAUUGUUGAAUAAUGGUUGGAAAGAUGCGUCUUUUAAUGUUGAUGACUGAUUGAGGAAUCCCAUGAUUUAUUAGCACUCAAGUGGCUGUGAGGAGACGCCUCUCAAACGGGUCAAGUGACGUCGCUUCAAAUGAACAAUAAACUUUUCAUUUCUACCCUUGAAUGGCAUUUAAAUGGAUACUGACGGUACAGUCGAACUCCCCUAUCUUAAACGUCAUAACAAAACAAUCUAGAAUAUCCCAAGUUAAAGUCAUCACAAAUAUUAAUGAUGAUUACUUUGUUGUUUUUCUAAAAAUCUUAUUUUUUUGGUUUUAAGUGUAUUUACAUUUUUGGAGUUAGAACAUUUUUCAUUAAAAACUUUUAAGUUUCAUAGCAGAAUAAUAGAAUUUUGAAA